GGUCGCAUGGCUUAUACGGCAAAGCGCAUGCCUUGAAAGCAGGAAAUCACGAGUUUAAGUCUCGUUGGGACCU
rnacentral:tRNA from 1 species